AGUGGAAUUGCUGGGUUAUAUGGUAACUCUAUGAUUAACCUUUAGAGGAAUUGGCAGACUGUUUUCCAAAGUGGCUGAACCAUUAGACAUUCCCACCAGCAAU
rnacentral:pre_miRNA from 1 species